GCUGCAGCAGACACUUUUAGUUGCAAGUAAAUUAUCUAGGUGCCCUUUCCUAAUUAGAGAAGAAAGUGAGUUUCUGCUAUUUUAAAAAUUCUUCCCUGUAUGGGAAUUUUUCUUUCAUGCUAUAUUCUCCUCUUGGUGUCUUGUCUAAUUUUCCUUUUCUCCCCCCAUCUAUUGUUCAACUGAGGUGUGAAAGAAGUUGAAAUCCACCUGUAAACCCGGGGGUGCCACAUCCCUUCAUUUAUUCACUCACUGAUUCACUCAACAAACAUUCACUGAGGAUUACUCUGUAAACGGCCACGUACUGGGUGCUGAGGACAAAAAAGGUGAAGGCCACUGCCAUUCAUGUGGCUACACUGUUCUGUCCCCUUUCGGUCCCUGCCCUUGAAAGUUCCCAAUUCUUGCUGACCUCCUGGAAAAGCCUAGAGAAAUAACAUCAAAUAACGGAGAGAUAAUUUCCCUUCAAGACUUUCACUAGGUCAGUUGUUCUAACCUUUUUAUGAGGCAAAAGGAAUAGAGAGGGGGAGGCAGCCAGCCAGGAUUAUUUGCUGCAUUUUAGAUAGGAAAGCUGAGUUCCAGAGAGGGGAGGGAAGGCAAGAGAGGGAAAGGAACUCAAUUAUUUAAUAGAGUCAGGCCUUGUGCCUUUUUAUUCUCAUACAUGCCUUGUGAGGUGGGUAUUUUUAUCAUCAUUUUACACGGGCAAAAGCUGACACUUAGGUUAAGGAGCUCAUCCAAGUCACUCCAUCUAUAGGUGGCAGAGCUGGGCUUAAAACACAGGUGUGAUCUUGGAACUAAGCUCUCAGCCUGCUGACUCAGCAACUACACUGCAGGUCAGUAGUGGAUUUGGGAACCUCCUGCUUCCCAGUCCUCUGCCUGGUCUUUUAGGCCAACAGUUUUACAACUUGGACACGCAUCAGAAUCACCUGGAGGGCCUGUGAAAACACAUAACGCUGAGCCAUACCCCCAGUUUCUGAUUCAGUAGGUCUAGGGUGGGGCUGAGAAUUUGCAUUUUUAACUAGUUCCCAGGUGAUGAUGAUGAUGAUGAUGGUCCACGGACCACAGUUUGAGAACACUGUUCCAGGUGUUCUCUUUCAAAAUAAUGACUCCCUCUCUUCCCCUUAACCAUUCCAAAGGUAACAUAGGUUUGUAAAAUACAACAAAUAUAUAACAUGUAGAACCUACAGAAAAAUAGGAAGAAUGGAAUUCAUCCACAUUCUUCUACUCAGAAAUAACCACUCUUAACAGUUUGGCACAUCUCCUCUGUCUUCUUUUCAGAGGCUAAGCACAGAGGAAGCGGGGUGGCCUAUGGCUGCUCGGCUAAGACCCGGUUAAGAUCCCAGUGCUUCCGUGAGACCUUGGGCAAGCCUGAACCAAGUCUGGGUCCCCUCUUCGGCAAAACUGCAUUUACACUCCCAUCCCGCAUUAGUUUGUUGGGAGGGUUUAAAGAAGAGCGUGUAUUUAUCAAGCACUCGACACAAUGUCAGAUGCGGAGUCAGCGCCCCAUAAAUGUUGGCUGUCAUUUUUGUUCUAACGUAAGAGAAAGCUGGAUGAUCCCAUUUGGGUUUCAGCCCCGUUUUCCCUCUUCACUCCUCCGGUGGUUCAGUGGGAGCUCUGCCGACCGCCUGGCUGCGGCCACUCACUGCUGGGACUGCGCGGCCUGGCCGCUCCCAGCAGCUGGCGGAGCCGCAGGACCCCCGCGCCGCCCGGGCCGCCGCCGUUAGGGUUGGCUCAAGCCUCUCGGCCUAGCCCGCCAGUUUUAUAGCCCGAACUCAAAGAGGGCUUUUAACUUUUCAUUCAGCAGCAGCGUAGCUCCGACUUUUAAUAACACACCUCGUGCACGACAAAAAUUUGCUCCUGGCAAUCAUGGUUUCGACCACAAAACCACAGCGGGGAGGCGUUCCUGAUUAACUCUUUCAGCGCUCCAGGCAGUCUGGAGCCGGCGCUCCUGGAGAUCAGAUAGAACGGCGGCGGCGGCCGCGGUCAGGACUGCGACGGUUCUAGUCCCCUUCCCCCAACCGAGUCGCGUCUCUGCGAGGCUGAGGGGAGACUCCAGGCGGCAGCGGUGGGGCCCAGAGAGCAGGGAGCGAGGCCGCGGGGGACGCUCCUGCCUCCGUGCCUUAGACCUACUGUGUGCCAAGCCCCCUUGCGGCGAAACUCUCCCUUCCUGGCCUGUCAACGGGGCCUGCCUGGAGCGCCGGCCGGCCCUCCAGAGGGGAACAAGAGGUCACCGGGGAGGUCGCCUGCGGCUCCAGCUCCCCGGGGGCCCCGACGCACCUUCAGGAAAACCCGACGCCGGGCAGCUCGCGGGCGCCGGCUGUUUUCCUGCGAGACCCAGGCGGUCGGCGGCGACUUCCGGCGCCCUCGGCCGCAGCCCAGGAUCCCUUGCGCCCUGCGGUAGCCCGGGGCUGCCCAGGGCUGCGGGCUCCAGGCACCCAGAGCGCUGCGACCACAUGAAAGGCCCGGCGCUCAGCACCCGCCAGCCACCUCCAGCUGGUUUCUAACUACACCGCCGGGGCCUCCAUGCUUCUCAGGGACCAGCCUUCGAAGUGCCGCCUUACACCCGGGGCCUGGCCACCGGGUGGACGCGGAUGGAGCUCUGGUCCACAUUUGGGAGCUCACAGUUGUUCCUGCCAGAUGUGGAAGCUGAGACUUAAAGAAGCUAUGAAACUUGAUCAGGUCAUGCAGCGCCAGAGGACCCAAGGUGGGAUCUCAACCCAGACUGUUUGGCUCCAAAGCUGAACUGCUACAUUAUGUUGCUUCAGCAAACAGUCAUUCAGAACCUCAGCUACCGCCGUGACUUUGGGUGCAAACCUGUCUGAAGCCUGUUGGUGAAGCUCUGCCCAGCUAUGAAGAAGCACAGAUCUGCCUGCCUUCCUUGGAAGGCUCAGACUCUUUUUCUGGAAGGCCUACCUUCUCAUCCUUUGGCAGUUGGGGGAACUGAAGCACAGUGAAGGAGAUAAGCGUGCCAUACGAUGAGAGGACAGAGCUCAGCGCUCUUCACUCAUCUGCCUGUGGGAAAGAGCCAGUUCUAGGGGUGGGGAUCGUGAAGGAGCACCCUACUUCCCUGUCCUUGUCACAUCCCAUGGCCAGUAGCCAUGUACUUUUUCCUCCUUUUUCUCUUGCCCAGCAAAUACAGGCUCCAGCUGCAGCCACUUUGAAGAUAAAGUCCUCCAUAGAAAUUCUGCAAUACAGAUGUCCUUCCGCGGUUCCAGUUCAGCCCUGCACCAGUUCCUUUUCCCACUGGGAAAUUUCUUUCCUCUUCCUACUUCCAUGCAACUGCGAGGCAAGGCUCAAGCCCACUUCCUUCUCCUUUUCCUGUGUCUCCCUGUGGAAGGAGCUCCCUCUUCUUCACAGCUCCAGGCUCUUCCCUACUCUGGCCCAACCUUAUGAGCAUUUUGCUCCAUAACUCUCCUCAAUCUGAACUGCUUCUGAUUUCUCUCAAGUCAUGUCAGGGAAUCUCACAAAUGCAUUCUGAGAAAUACAAGAAUGCCUGAGAUGUUCCAGGCAGAAAAGAUUCCAGGAUCAGAACAUUUGGGAAAAGCUUCACAUCUCUCCUUAGAAAUGAACAAGGCAUAGUCAUCAAGCAUCUGAAAAGUCCUGCAGUCAGGAAACCUACCUUGUUUGUUUUUUAACCCAGUAUUUCCCAAACUAAGAUGGCCAUGAUUUCAUCUCCUCCAUCCCCACUGACUCCUAUAACAACAUGUAGAACCAGUGAUCCACUGUGGAACACACUUUGAGAAACACUGUCCCCAGCCCUCCAAGAAGGCAUAGAGUUGACCUUGCCUUCAUUGAUUUAAACCCUUCCUGUUUCUCUGGGCUAUUUACUUAUUAUCUCACAUACAAAAUAAUCUAAGGUGAUGUCUGCCCAAUUGGGUUUUUAGGAAAGACAUACCCGAUGGGAAUGAAGAUUUUCUUAGCAGGAUUUGAUGAGCCCAUUACUAGAAAAAAAAUCAAGGAUUUCCCAGACUUUCAGGGUGAGGAGAGAAUUUGAUACAAGCAGCAGAGGCUGGGCGUAGUGACCCAUGCCUAGCACUUUGGUAGGCCAAGGAGGGAGGAUUGCUUGAACCCAGGAAUCCAAGACCAGCCUGGGCAACAUAGUAAGAUCCCAUCUCAAUUUUUUAAAGAAGGAUUUUAUCAAAUUUGUUUCCUAGUCAAUGGAUAAAGCCAAAGAUGUAAUGGCCAGAAACCCAAAAUCUAGAGUUCAGUACCAGAUAAAUACUUUUUGGGUGAAUGAAUGAAUGAGAAGGCUAUUGAUCACAAAGUUGGCAGACAUUGUGAAUGAAUGGAUGAAUUAAUAAACAAUCAAAUAACUGGUCUCCAGGCCUCCAGACUUUCUGAACUUCAUUGUAUCUCCCUGCUGUGGCCACAUAUAUAUCUCCUCAAAACCCAGAUCUCAUCAGUCCACUCUUCUGUUCCCUGGCUGGCUCCCUGUUGCCUUCAGGAUAAAGUCUACAUGCCUUUGUCCUGGCACUGAAAACUCUGCAAAACAAAGCUCCAACCUAGCUUUCCAUCCUUCUUUCUCUUCCCCAUUGGGUACCCCUUACUCUAGUCACACCAGUCCCCAAUUCACUUUAUCCGUCUCCUUUUCUUUCUCAAGCUAUUCUCUAUACCUCACCUUUUCUCCCCUGCCUCCAUUGUUGCUUAUUCAACCCUAGCAGUGCUUUCAGGCUCAGCUCAAACCUUAUCACCCAUGUUAAAUGAAAGAAGCCAGAUACAAGAAGGGGACAUUCUGAAUGAUUCCAUUUAUAUGAAGGUUAAGAACAGGCAAAACUAUUGUGGGGAAAAAACAGAACUGUGGUUGCCUUUGGGGAGUGAGGAUUGAUUAGAAGGGGUUUUGGAGGUAGGAAAAUGUUCUUGAUCUUCAUUCCAGUGGUAAUUUCAUGGGUGAAUACAUUUGCCAAAAUUCACUGAAUUGUACACUAAAGAUCUGCAUUUCUCUGUAUUGUCAAUUUAAUCUAAAAAUAAAAAUCUUACCACCCAGAU